rnacentral:rRNA from 1 species
AGAGUUGAUCAUGGCUCAGGACGAACGCUGGCGGCACGCUUAACACAUGCAAGUCGAACGGAGAUAAUUGAGUUACUUAGAUUAUCUUAGUGGCGGACGGGUGAGUAACACGUGAGCAACCUACCUUUGAGAGAGGGAUAGCUUCUGGAAACGGAUGGUAAUACCUCAUAACGUAUCGGGACCGCAUGAUUCUGAUACCAAAGAUUUAUCACUCAAAGAUGGGCUCGCGUCUGAUUAGCUAGAUGGUGAGGUAACGGCUCACCAUGGCGACGAUCAGUAGCCGGACUGAGAGGUUGAACGGCCACAUUGGGACUGAGACACGGCCCAGACUCCUACGGGAGGCAGCAGUGGGGAAUAUUGCACAAUGGGGGGAAAAACCCCUGAUGCAGCGAUGCCGCGUGGAGGAAGAAGGUUUUCGGAUUGUAAACUCCUGUCUUAAAGGACGAUAAUGACGGUACUUUAGGAGGAAGCUCCGGCUAACUACGUGCCAGCCGCCGC